AAUUCGCCCUUAGAGUUUGAUCCUGGCUCAGGAUGAACGCUAGCUACAGGCUUAACACAUGCAAGUCGAGGGGCAGCGGGAUUGAAGCUUGCUUCAAUUGCCGGCGACCGGCGCACGGGUGAGUAACGCGUAUCCAACCUUCCGUACACUCAGGGAUAGCCUUUCGAAAGAAAGAUUAAUACCUGAUGGUAUGAUGAGAUUGCAUGAUAGCAUCAUUAAAGAUUUAUCGGUGUACGAUGGGGAUGCGUUCCAUUAGGUAGUAGGCGGGGUAACGGCCCACCUAGCCAACGAUGGAUAGGGGUUCUGAGAGGAAGGUCCCCCACAUUGGAACUGAGACACGGUCCAAACUCCUACGGGAGGCAGCAGUGAGGAAUAUUGGUCAAUGGACGAGAGUCUGAACCAGCCAAGUAGCGUGAAGGAUGAAGGUCCUACGGAUUGUAAACUUCUUUUAUAAGGGAAUAAACCCUCCCACGUGUGGGAGCUUGUAUGUACCUUAUGAAUAAGCAUCGGCUAACUCCGUGCCAGCAGCCGCGGUAAUACGGAGGAUGCGAGCGUUAUCCGGAUUUAUUGGGUUUAAAGGGAGCGCAGACGGGUCGUUAAGUCAGCUGUGAAAGUUUGGGGCUCAACCUUAAAAUUGCAGUUGAUACUGGCGUCCUUGAGUGCGGUUGAGGUGUGCGGAAUUCGUGGUGUAGCGGUGAAAUGCUUAGAUAUCACGAAGAACUCCGAUUGCGAAGGCAGCACACUAAUCCGUAACUGACGUUCAUGCUCGAAAGUGUGGGUAUCAAACAGGAUUAGAUACCCUGGUAGUCCACACGGUAAACGAUGGAUACUCGCUGUUGGCGAUAUACUGUCAGCGGCUUAGCGAAAGCGUUAAGUAUCCCACCUGGGGAGUACGCCGGCAACGGUGAAACUCAAAGGACAU
rnacentral:rRNA from 1 species